rnacentral:rRNA from 1 species
UACGUAGGGGGCGAGCGUUGUCCGGAGUUACUGGGCGUAAAGGGCAUGCAGGCGGUCGGACGCGUUUUGUGUGACAGCGGGUGGCUCAACUACGCGAGCAUACGAAAGACGGUUUGACUUGAGGGCUCGAGAGGGACACGGAAUUCCGGGUGGAGUGGUGAAAUGCGUAGAGAUUCGGAGGAACACCGAAGGCGAAGGCAGUGUCCUGGCGAGUGACUGACGCUGAGGUGCGAAAGCCAGGGGAGCGAACGGG